rnacentral:rRNA from 1 species
AUGGACAUGGGCUUCCCCGGCGCGGCGAACGGCGCUGCGGCGGCGGCCGCGGGGAACGGCAGCGGCGGCGGGCAGGCGCCGGCAGUGCGCGAGCAGGACAGGCUGAUGCCGAUCGCGAAUGUGAUCCGCAUCAUGCGCCGCGUGCUGCCGCCGCACGCCAAGAUAUCGGACGACGCCAAGGAGACGAUCCAGGAGUGCGUGUCCGAGUACAUCAGCUUCAUCACGGGGGAGGCCAACGAGCGGUGCCAGCGCGAGCAGCGCAAGACCAUCACCGCCGAGGACGUGCUCUGGGCCAUGAGCCGCCUCGGCUUCGACGACUACGUCGAGCCCCUCAGCAUCUACCUCCACCGCUUCCGCGAGUUCGAGGGCGAGGCGCGGGGCGCCGGCGUCGGCCACCAUCACCACGGGAUGCCGCCCAUGAUGCUCAAACCCCGCGGGGCGCCGGGGCCCAUGGUGCCGCACGGCGACAUGCAGAUGCACGCCGCCGGCAUGUACGGCGGGGGCGCCAUGCCCCCGCAUCCGCACCAUCCGUUCCACAUGCCGGCGCACCACGGCCAGUACCCGCAGUACGAGAUGUACGGCGGCGAGCAUGGGAUGGCCGCGUACUACGGAGGGCCCUACGCUCCCGGAAACGGCGGCAAUAAUGGCGACGGGAGUGGCAGCAGCGGCAAUGGCCAUGGCGGUGAAAGCACGCCGCCGGCGGGCAACUUUGAGCACCAUCAGACGUUCGGGUACAAGUAG